rfam:Eutrema salsugineum unplaced genomic scaffold scaffold_3, whole genome shotgun sequence.
UAUCCGUGAUGUGGACAAUCUCUUUGGUAUUCCCUAAAUCUCUCCCGAGUAUCUAAAAGAUCUUCAUCUUCUUUUUGUUUAAAGUUCGUAUCGUGUUCCUUAAGAGA